AGAGUUUGAUUCUGGCUCAGAUUGAACGCUGGCGGCGUGCUUAACACAUGCAAGUCGAACGUGAAAGUCCUUCGGGGCGAGUAAAGUGGCGCACGGGUGAGUAACGCGUGGAUAAUCUACCCUUAAGAUGGGGAUAACGGCUGGAAACGGUCGCUAAUACCGAAUACGCUCCCGAUUUUAUCGUUGGGGGGAAAGAUGGCCUCUGCUUGCAAGCUAUCGCUUAAGGAUGAGUCCGCGUCCCAUUAGCUAGUUGGCGGGGUAACGGCCCACCAAGGCGACGAUGGGUAGCCGGUCUGAGAGGAUGACCGGCCACACUGGAACUGGAACACGGUCCAGACUCCUACGGGAGGCAGCAGUGGGGAAUAUUGCGCAAUGGGCGAAAGCCUGACGCAGCGACGCCGCGUGAGGGAUGAAGGUUCUCGGAUCGUAAACCUCUGUCAGGGGGGAAGAAACCCCCUCGUGUGAAUAAUGCGAGGGCUUGACGGUACCCCCAAAGGAAGCACCGGCUAACUCCGUGCCAGCAGCCGCGGUAAUACGGAGGGUGCAAGCGUUAAUCGGAAUUACUGGGCGUAAAGCGCACGCAGGCGGUUUGUUAAGUCAGAUGUGAAAUCCCCGGGCUCAACCUGGGAACUGCAUCUGAUACUGGCAAGCUUGAGUCUCGUAGAGGGGGGUAGAAUUCCAGGUGUAGCGGUGAAAUGCGUAGAGAUCUGGAGGAAUACCGGUGGCGAAGGCGGCCCCCUGGACGAAGACUGACGCUCAGGUGCGAAAGCGUGGGGAGCAAACAGGAUUAGAUACCCCAGUAGUCCAUCGC
rnacentral:rRNA from 1 species